UAGUACCAGGCAUGCCUGGCUGUUGCCAGGUAACUGUGGGGGUGGAGCUUAGACGGAAUGCUAACAACCCUCUCCUUACCGUUUGAGAUGCAAGCUGAUCCUGCUGCCAUGACUUCAUCCACACUGUGAACUUUAACCCUCUGGAGCGAUGAGACCAAUUAAACACUUUCUCUUCUAAGUUGCCUUGGCCGCGGUGUCUUAACUACACUGGUAGGAAGUUAACUAACGCAGCAACCGACGUCAGAACACUCAGACACGUUCCCUUGCGUGGAGGUAGUGGAAGAGACUAAGGUAACUUAAAAGAUGGUCAGAGAGAUGGAGCGAAGGUCUUAGCAAAUAGGAUAGAUGCUGCCUGUGCCCUGGACUGCCAGCUGCCCAACCCUACUUGCCCUUGAGGGUUGGAAAUCAGGUGGCCCGAAACUGAUGGCUCAGACUCUGAAAGCAGGCCCCAUGGUGGUGGAAUUCAUGACUCUGCUACAGCCUGCGAUCUUGAAGAACUGGAUUCGACACACUCUUUCAUACCAGGAGAAGUUCUAAGGUCUGGCGAUUAAAUAACAUGGAGAAAAUGUUUUCCCCUUUGGCACCAUUUGGUGGCACAGGUUCUAUCAUAAGUUGAGAGACAGUGAGAGGGUCAGAGCACGUAGAAAGGGAGGCUGGAAUAAAACGGACAGAGAAACCAUCA